rnacentral:rRNA from 1 species
UUGAACACAGGCAAGUCGAACGGUGAACACGGAGCUUGCUCUGUGGGAUCAGUGGCGAACGGGUGAGUAACACGUGAGCAACCUGCCCCUGACUCUGGGAUAAGCGCUGGAAACUGGCGUCUAAUACUGGAUAUGUGACGUGAUCGCAUGGUCUGCGUCUGGAAAGAAUUUCGGUUGGGGAUGGGCUCGCGGCCUAUCAGCUUGUUGGUGAGGUAAUGGCUCACCAAGGCGUCGACGGGUAGCCGGCCUGAGAGGGUGACCGGCCACACUGGGACUGAGACACGGCCCAGACUCCUACGGGAGGCAGCAGUGGGGAAUAUUGCACAAUGGGCGCAAGCCUGAUGCAGCAACGCCGCGUGAGGGACGACGGCCUUCGGGUUGUAAACCUCUUUUAGCAGGGAAGAAGCGAAAGUGACGGUACCUGCAGAAAAAGCGCCGGCUAACUACGUGCCAGCAGCCGCGGUAAUACGUAGGGCGCAAGCAGUUAUCCGGAAUUAUUGGGCGUAAAGAGCUCGUAGGCGGUUUGUCGCGUCUGCUGUGAAAUCCGGAGGCUCAACCUCCGGCCUGCAGUGGGUACGGGCAGACUAGAGUGCGGUAGGGGAGAUUGGAAUUCCUGGUGUAGCGGUGGAAUGCGCAGAUAUCAGGAGGAACACCGAUGGCGAAGGCAGCUCCUCUGGGCCGUAACUGACGCUGAG